UACGAGGGGGGCGAGCGUUGUUCGGAAUUAUUGGGCGUAAAGGGUGCGUAGGCGGUUUGGUAAGUCUGAUGUGAAAUCUAUGGGCUCAACUCAUAGUCUGCAUCGGAAACUGCCGGGCCUGAGUGUGGGAGAGGUGAGUGGAAUUCCUGGUGUAGCGGUGAAAUGCGUAGAUAUCGCUUGGAACGCCAACGGUGAAAACAGGUUGCUGGGGGUGUGCUGACGCUGAGACACGAAAGCCAGGGGAGCGAACGGG
rnacentral:rRNA from 1 species